GCCUGGUAAGGGCGUCGUGGAAAGUGGGCUACAGUUGGCUGAUGCAAACAAAACCCAGGAGGUCCCAAGAGCUUUCGGGUAUGUACACGGCAAAGGGGUCAUCGGUCUCAGCUCAAAAAAAAAAAACUCCCCACGGCCGAGAGCCCAGUACACAAAGCAGUUUUUCCCGAGGAAGGAAAGGAUGAUGGGAGAAGACAAGCAACUACAAGCCCCAGCAUGCAAUGCGCACUCUGGCUGCAGGAAAGCGGCCUGCGAAGCGGCUCUGCCCGGCCGCGGCCCGAGCGCGAGACCCAGACUGUUGGCCGACCAGGCGCUGAGAAUAAGAACGCAGGCGGGGCGCUCCGAGUGAUCCCUGGGGUCUCCUGUCUUUGACGCUCGCUAUUUUGGGGAGGGGGCCCUGGCAUGUAAGGUGUCGGUGUGAAGCGGGCGGUGGACCGGCCAGUUCAGCCCCGGCUGGUGUGGGACCUCCACGGUCCUAAAGCCUCCGGGGUUGCCAAGGGGCUCCCGGACCCGGAUGUGACGUCGUCGUGGAGGAAGAAGGGAAAGGCGGAGCUGGCGCGGUGACGUCCUCCCAAGAUGGCGGGGAGAGAGUGAAGAAACAGUGUCCCCGGCUGGGUGGCUCUAGAACAAGGGUAGAUAAAGUUCCACUCCGGUCUCAAGAUGCAGUAUUCGCACCACUGUGAGCACCUUUUGGAGAGGCUGAACAAACAGCGGGAAGCAGGUUUUCUCUGCGACUGCACCAUCGUGAUUGGGGAGUUCCAGUUUAAAGCUCACAGGAAUGUGCUGGCCUCGUUCAGUGAGUAUUUCGGUGCCAUCUACAGAAGCACGUCCGAGAACAAUGUCUUUCUUGACCAGAGUCAGGUCAAGGCAGAUGGAUUUAAGAAACUGUUGGAGUUCAUAUACACAGGAACUUUAAACCUUGACAGUUGGAAUGUUAAAGAAAUUCAUCAGGCUGCUGACUAUCUCAAAGUGGAAGAGGUGGUCACUAAAUGUAAAAUAAAGAUGGAAGAUUUUGCUUUUAUUGCUAAUCCCUCUUCUACAGAGAUAUCUAGUAUUACUGGAAACAUUGAAUUGAAUCAACAGACUUGUCUUCUUACUCUACGAGAUUAUAACAGUCGGGAGAAAUCGGAAGUGUCUACAGAUUUAGUUCAGGCAAAUCCUAAACAAGGGGCUUUAGCAAAGAAGUCAUCUCAAACUAAAAAGAAGAAGAAGGCCUUCAACUCCCAGAAAACAGGGCCGAGUAAAACAGUGCAAUAUCCCAGCAGCAUUUUAGAGAAUACAUCUGUUGAAUUAUUCCUAGAUGCAAAUAAACUGUCCACACCUGUAAUUGAACAGGUUGCACAGAGAAAUGAUAAUUCAGAACUUGAGUUGACAUCAGUUGUGGAAAAUACUUUUCCAGCCCAAGAUAUUGUGCAAACUGUUACAGUGAAACGGAAACGUGGAAAAUCACAGCCAAACUGUGCUCUGAAAGAACACUCUAUGUCCAAUAUAGCCAGUGUCAAGAACUCUUAUGAGCUGGAGAGCUCUGGGGAAGAGCUGGAUCAGAGGUAUUCCAAGGCCAAGCCAAUGUGUAACACAUGUGGGAAAGUGUUUUCAGAAGCCAGCAGCUUGAGAAGGCACAUGAGAAUACAUAAAGGAGUCAAACCUUAUGUUUGCCACUUGUGUGGAAAGGCAUUUACCCAGUGUAACCAGCUGAAAACACAUGUAAGAACUCAUACAGGUGAGAAGCCAUACAAAUGUGAAUUGUGUGAUAAAGGAUUUGCUCAGAAAUGCCAGCUAGUCUUCCAUAGUCGCAUGCAUCAUGGUGAGGAAAAACCCUAUAAAUGUGAUGUAUGCAAUUUACAAUUUGCAACUUCUAGCAAUCUCAAGAUUCAUGCAAGGAAGCAUAGUGGAGAGAAGCCAUAUGUCUGUGAUAGGUGUGGACAGAGAUUUGCCCAAGCGAGCACAUUGACCUAUCAUGUUCGUAGGCAUACUGGAGAAAAGCCUUAUGUGUGUGAUACUUGUGGGAAGGCAUUUGCUGUCUCUAGUUCUCUUAUCACUCAUUCUCGAAAACAUACAGGUGAAAAACCAUACAUAUGUGGUAUUUGUGGGAAAAGUUUUAUUUCCUCAGGAGAGCUCAACAAACACUUUCGAUCCCAUACAGGAGAAAGACCGUUUAUCUGCGAAUUAUGUGGAAAUUCUUACACGGAUAUUAAAAAUUUAAAGAAGCACAAAACAAAAGUUCAUUCUGGGGCAGAUAAAAUUCUAGAUACUACUAUAGAGGAUCAUCCCUUAAGUGAACAAGAUUCCAUACAAAAAAGCCCUUUAUCAGAAACUUUGGAUGUGAAACCUUCUGAUAUGACUUUGCCACUAGCCCUUCCACUUGGGACUGAGGACCACCACAUGCUUCUGCCUGUCACAGAUAAUCAGUCUCUGACAUCAGACACAUUGUUGAGGUCAACUGUGAAUGGGUAUUCAGAACCACAAUUGAUUUUUUUACAACAGUUAUACUGACUUUGUGAGGAUUAUGGAAUUGCUAAAACAUCUCUGGUAGUAAACAUAAACAUCUCUGGUAAGGAAUUUAUUGGAAUGUGAAGAUUUUAAAGAAAAUUAAAAGACUCAGCCUCUUUAAGAAGUCUGCUGAAAUGGAGAGGUUAUAUUUAAUUCAUCUCUUCAUUAAUUCAAGCAUCUAAUGAACAAAGUUUCUUUUUAAAAACACUACAAUGAUGUCAUAAUUCUAGGAGGGCAGUAGUUACCAAAUUUCCUCUAAUAUGAUCAUUAGCACUUUGCCUUUGCAUAGAUUAGCCUUCAGAUUUAUUAUUUUUAGUAUUACUGGAUUGGAAUGGUUAUAGUUGAUUUACUGUGCUUUUUUUAAAUCACAUUAUCUGCUUUUUAAAAUUGGAUUGGCUUGGUGCUCUUCCAGAAUGACAGGUAAAGAAAGAUUGAAAACUGAAUAUCCUGUCUUGUCAUUCUUCUCAUAAUGCCAUCCUAUUCUUUAUCAUAAUAUACAUAUAUUUUAGUUGUAUUUGUUAUCAUUCUGAUAAUCAAAUGUGUCAUUUUAAUUAAGUUCAUCUUUAAAUAUGUCUAUCAUAAUGCAUUGUUUUGAGAAAAAUCUGUUCUUAAUUAUUUAAUUAUUACUAAGUUUUUUAAAAAGUGUUUAGGAUGCUGAAGAUCUUACUGGGAAACAUUAUUUUUUAAGUUUUGUUUUGUUUAUAUGAGACUUUUCCUACUGUAUUGUUAGAGGUUAGACUUUUUAAAAAGAAACCAUAGAUUAUAUGUAAAGGACUUUCUGCUGUUUUUAAAUGAUACUUGUUUUAUGUUUAAUUUCAUAGGAGGAUUUUGAUAGACAAAUUAAAGAAAAUUGUUUUAUUUUUUUCAAAAAGGGUUCUAUCAGUUCUAAUGCAAUGAUAGUUUACCACUUUUCUGUAUGCUUUAAUUCUACAGAAAUUGUGCAAAUGAGUAGUUGAAAUGUGCUCAUAUAAUGGCAGUAUACAUGUAUUCAUGUUUUUAAAUAUCCAAAAAUAAUAGCUCUAAUAUUUGAUGCAUAUCAUAAACAUUUAUAGAAUAAUGAUAGUCAAGUCCCAUCCCACCCCACCUUACUCCUACUGAAUCAAACAAUCUUUGGAACAUAUCUGUGCUGGCAAAGCCUCACAGUUUAUCUUAAUGUAUACUACACAUUGAGAACUAUUAUCCUAAAUAUUUUUAAUGUCCAUCCUUUUGGAAGCAUUUAUAAAUGAAGCUCUUCAUAUAACUUUCCAUCUUUUACUCAGAGAUUUUGAGUCUGUAGAACUUAGCUAGAAAUAUCACCAAGUAAAAAGAAAUUAUAUUUUAAUGCAAUAACCUGUAAAUUCUACAUUUUUACUCAUUUAUG